rnacentral:rRNA from 1 species
CAGUGGGGAAUUUUCCGCAAUGGGCGAAAGCCUGACGGAGCAAUACCGCGUGAGGGAAGAAUGCCUAUGGGUUGUAAACCUCUUUUUUCAGGGAGGAAUAAAAUGACGUGUACCUGAAGAAUAAGCAUCGGCUAACUCCGUGCCAGCAGCCGCGGUAAGACGGAGGAUGCAAGUGUUAUCCGGAAUCACUGGGCGUAAAGCGUCUGUAGGUGGUUUAAUAAGUCAACUGUUAAAUCUUGAUGGCUCAACUUCAAAAUCGCAGUCGAAACUAUUAGACUAGAGUAUAGUAGAGGUAAAGGGAAUUUCCAGUGGAGCGGUGAAAUGCGUAGAUAUUGGAAAGAACACCGAUGGCGAAAGCACUUUACUGGGCUAUUACUAACACUCAGAGACGAAAGCUAGGGUAGCAAAUGGGAUUAGAUACCCCAGUAGUCCUAGCUGUAAACAAUGGAUACUAGAUGUUGAACAGAUCGACCUGUGCAGUAUC